rnacentral:rRNA from 1 species
UACGUAGGGACCAAGCGUUGUUCGGAUUUACUGGGCGUAAAGCGCACGUAGGCGGGUUGUUAAGUCAGGGGUGAAAUCCUGGAGCUCAACUCCAGAACUGCCUUUGAUACUGGCAACCUAGAGGCUGGAAGAGGUUAGUGGAAUUCCCAGUGUAGAGGUGAAAUUCGUAGAUAUUGGGAAGAACACCAGUGGCGAAGGCGGCUAACUGGUCCAGAUCUGACGCUGAGGUGCGAAAGCGUGGGGAGCAAACAGG